GCCUAACCAUAAACCUUCAACCUACACUAACAUCGCCAGGUAACUACGAGCAAAGCUUAAAACCCAAAGGACUUGACGGUCCCCCACAUCCCCCUAGAGGAGCCUGUCCUUUAAUUCGAUAGUCCCCGUUUAACCUCACCA
rnacentral:rRNA from 1 species